AGAGUUUGAUCCUGGCUCAGGACGAACGCUGGCGGCGUGCUUAACACAUGCAAGUCGAACGGUGAAGUCCCUUCGGGGGCGGAUCAGUGGCGAACGGGUGAGUAACACGUGGGCAAUCUGCCCCUCACUGUGGGAUAACUCCGGGAAACCGGGGCUAAUACCGCAUAUGAAGCCUGGCGGCAUCGCCGGGUUUGGAAAGUUUUUCGGUGAGGGAUGAGCCCGCGGCCUAUCAGCUUGUUGGUGAGGUAAUGGCUCACCAAGGCGACGACGGGUAGCCGGCCUGAGAGGGCGACCGGCCACACUGGGACUGAGACACGGCCCAGACUCCUACGGGAGGCAGCAGUGGGGAAUAUUGGGCAAUGGGCGAAAGCCUGACCCAGCGACGCCGCGUGCGGGAUGAAGGCCUUCGGG
rnacentral:rRNA from 1 species